rnacentral:sRNA from 1 species
UAUUCUGCCCCACGGGGAAGGAUGAGAAGCUUCGACCAAGGUUCGACUUGAGCGAAGCGAGAGAACGUUGCCGCAGGCAACGGCCCGAAGGCGAGGCGCUUUAGCGCCGAGUAAUCCUUCCCCCACCACUG